GGGAGGAUCUCUCUAAAAUACAGGAUCCUUCGCUUGUAUCGCUGGCUUCCUCGCUUCCUCGGGUUGUGUUGAAUGCAAAGGCUCGAAAUACGACAGUCCGCUAUGCUUAUGGAUGGAACAGAUGGAAGAUCUGGUCCAAGUCUAAGAUUGGUGUUGCGUACCUUCCUGCUCAGCCUAUGUUCGUGGCGUUAUAUCUGCGUCAAUUCCUGGAUUCCGCCAAGACCACUUCACCUGUGGAUACUGCUGUGUAUAGCAUUCGUUGGGGGAAUAUUUUGGCCGGCUUACCCUCUCAGACACAGCCACCCGUUGGUUCAAUCUACCUACGAAGGCUGCCGACGAAUUCUCUCUCGACCAAGAGAACCUGAAGAUCCUGUCCAACC